rnacentral:rRNA from 1 species
UACCAGCACCCCGAGUGGUCGGGACGUUUAUUGGGCCUAAAGCAUCCGUAGCCGGUUCUACAAGUCUUCCGUUAAAUCCACCUGCUUAACAGAUGGGCUGCGGAAGAUACUAUAGAGCUAGGAGGCGGGAGAGGCAAGCGGUACUCGAUGGGUAGGGGUAAAAUCCGUUGAUCCAUUGAAGACCACCAGUGGCGAAGACGGCUUGCCAGAACGCGCUCGACGGUGAGGGAUGAAAGCUGGGGGAGCAAACCGG